GAUGAACGCUGGCGGCGUGCCUAAUACAUGCAAGUCGAGCGAACAGACGAGGAGCUUGCUCCUCUGACGUUAGCGGCGGACGGGUGAGUAACACGUGGAUAACCUACCUAUAAGACUGGGAUAACUUCGGGAAACCGGAGCUAAUACCGGAUAAUAUAUUGAACCGCAUGGUUCAAUAGUGAAAGACGGUUUUGCUGUCACUUAUAGAUGGAUCCGCGCCGCAUUAGCUAGUUGGUAAGGUAACGGCUUACCAAGGCAACGAUGCGUAGCCGACCUGAGAGGGUGAUCGGCCACACUGGAACUGAGACACGGUCCAGACUCCUACGGGAGGCAGCAGUAGGGAAUCUUCCGCAAUGGGCGAAAGCUUGACGGAGCAACGCCGCGGGAGUGAUGAAGGUCUUCGGAUCGUAAAACUCUGUUAUUAGGGAAGAACAAAUGUGUAAGUAACUAUGCACGUCUGGACGGUACCUAAUCAGAAAGCCACGGCGAACUACGU
rnacentral:rRNA from 1 species